rnacentral:lncRNA from 1 species
UUUUUUUUUUUUUUUUUUUUUUUUUUUUUUGGUCUUUUGUCUUUUUAGAGCCACACCCGGGGCAUAGGAAGGUUCCCAGGCUAGGGGGAACAUACUGCAGUGUUGCUGCACCCUAUUUAAAAGUGCCCACCUCUCUCCAUACCUCUCCCAGCUUUUAAGCUGACGGGAAAUGAGACAUGGGGAAUACACCAGGUAGAAAAUGUUUAGUAUAGGAUUGGUGGGACUGCAGAUAAGAAGUGGAAAGCAAGUUGACAGCGAUUGAAGAUAACACACCAAACAAACUACCGCUGCCCUUUGCCUGGUAAGGCUCCAGGCUGCUCCAGGAGCAUCAGAGGUAAUUCAAGGAGGCCUUGCCUGUUGCCCUGGCUCUGAGAUGAAUUAAUGACAGUUCGGAUGUCACCUUGUCACAAGAUGUCGCUGGUCACCCCAUCUAAACCAGCACUUCUGGCAACAUUCCUAUCCCCAACCUCGGCUUUAUUUCUUUAUGGCAUUUAUUGUUACCUGAUAUUAAAUUGUAUCUUUUUUUUUUUUCAUCACUGUCUGUCUCCCCUGCCAAAAAGCAGAAGCUUGUUCAGGGCCCGACUCUGUUUUCUUCACGUCUAUAUUCCCUAUACCUAGAACAGCAUCUAACACAAAACAGGUGGUGAGUGAAUAUCUCUUAAAUGAAUAAUUGAGAUCCAUUUCCUGGAUCAGAAACCUAUUCACGUAGACCCCUUGUUACUAAGUUACCAACAAUGGUUUCUCUUGCCCAAUAGAACAGUAUUGGGUUUAAAGUAAAACACACUUGGAACCUGGCCUCUCUCUGCCAAAACCUGAGGAAAGAUGUGCUUGUAGUAACUAUACUGGGGUAGCAGGUGUACAGUGGGAGCAUCCCAGACAAGCUGGAAGGUAGAGUCGCUUUCACCCUAAAGCAAAACCAGACCUGGGGACAGACACCAUUGACUAUGGUCACUGGACUACUCCAGAUGCAAAGGGCGCAACCUGUUUCUGCAAAAACUGGGCCUAGAAUUAACAGACGUCACCCCGCCUCAGCAGUGACAAAACCAAGAGGCGUGACAUUUCCUUCCCACGGCCGCGAGAGCCCCACCACCACCCGGAGUGCAGGACAAAGUUAAAGUCACCCGGAGGAAAGACCAUGCUAGGGACAGAAACAAAUCAAAACAAAACCAAAAAACAGGUUGGAGGCCCUUAUUUUAGAAGAAAAUGUGCUUGUUGACCAAUAUAUAGAGUAAAACGUUCUCAUGGAACAGAGCUCUAUGAAUCAAAUUAAAAAGAACAUUUUUUAAAAAUUGAAGUCCAGUUGAUUUACAAUAUUUUGUUAGUUUCAGGAAAACAGCAAAGCGAUUUAGUUAUAUAUACAAAUAUAUAUAUCUAUUUUUUCACAGAUUCUUUUCCCUUAAAGGUUAUUAUAAAAUAUUGAGUAUAGUUCCCUGGACCAUAGAGAACAUUUUUUUUUUUUUUUUGUCUUUUUGCCAUUUUCUUGGGCCGCUCUCGCGGCAUAUGGAGGUUCCCAGGCUAGGGGUGGAAUCGGAGCUGUAGCCUCCGGCCUACGCCAGAGCCACAGCAACGCGGUAUCCGAGUCGCGUCUGCGACCUACACCACAGCUCACGGCAACUCCGGAUCGUUAACCCACUGAGCAAGGGCAGGGAUCGAACCCGCAACCUCAUGGUUCCUAGUCGGAUUCGUUAACCACUGCGCCACGACGGGAACUCCCUAUAGAGAACAUUUUUAAAAAUAAAAACAUGUAUCUAACAUC